GGGAAAUGUAAAGGGAGUGGGAUGGAACUGAUUCAUUUUUAAUACAGGGGAGCAGUUGGAUCAGUUGCUGUUUUAAUAGUUUGGGUGUUCACUUGUUAUUGAGCAUUUUCAUAGGACGAUAUUUUGUAUUCCAAGUUGUAAUCUUCUCUCUAUUUUAUUUAAGAAAAAGAAGAGAUGCAGUGUGGGUUGCUUAGCUAUUAAAGUGAUUGAUCCUUCUCUGAUAGUGGGUCGAAUAGGUUGAGCCUUGUUGUGCUUUCAAUAGAAUGGGCUGUGCAGCCUUGUUAUGCCUUCAUUAGAGAGGGGGACAAUUCUCUUUAAGCUCCUCAUGUUUCCUGUUCAAUCUGCAAUAUUGAGAGGGAAG
rnacentral:misc_RNA from 1 species